rnacentral:tRNA from 1 species
GCCCGGGUGGUGGAAUGGUAGACACGCAGGACUUAAAAUCCUGUGACCGUUGAGGUCGUAUGGGUUCGAGUCCCAUUCCGGGCA